UGUAUUAGAGUGAAUUCUACACAACAAAGCUGAAAAAUUGCAUUGCGUGUCGAGAAUCGAUUUCGAGAGAUGUAUCGAAGCGUAGAAUAACUUUAUUCGCGAUUACGUAUUUAGUUGCAUAGAUUUUAAUUGAUGUUGAUAUUUCAUAAUUAUUAUAGAUAAUCCUUCAAUUUUCAUUUUUAAUAUUCGAAUAACUAGGAAACUCAAGUUUUUCACUGGCUUUUUAUAACCUGUAUCAGAAAUUCAAUCUCUCGAAACGACAGGGACGCGGAAUGUUAAUUAAAAAUCGCUUAGGAAGCGAAUCGAAUUGACGAGAUGGAGAAAAAAAGCGAAACGAAGUUUUCACGGGUGUUAGUCGUGCAACAUGGAUCGAGAGAAUUGCGUGAAUCUGGCAGGAAGAGAACAUCGAUAGUCUCGAAAAACUAGGUUAGAACGCUCGAGGCACGAACUUCUCGUCUCCACUUUCGCUCAAAAUCGAAAACCAGUCUCUCGGCAACGAAUCGAAAGUGGCUGAACUGGAGAUUACGUCUCGAAAGUGGUCUCGUGUUUGUAAUGAUCAUGCGUUUUCACUCGGCGAAUGUAUAUACGUAGAACGUUAUUUAAAUUCACGUAACUCAAAGAUAUGCACGAGUGGAAAAAUAUCGAAUUAAAAUCAUAAAACCGAUCGCUUUUGCAUGACUUUAGAAAGUACAGGAAAUUAGAUUCCAUUCAACAUAUUUCGAGAUAACUGUAAUAAUAAUUGGAAUUUCGUUUGUCUGAGACGAGAAGUAUCGUGGAUGAAUCUUAAAAGUGCGUAAGGAUAAUCGUGCGUUAGUACUACUACUACCUUACGAAUGGUGCGUGCUACGUUGCGAGUCUACGAAGGAGCCGGACUUCUCCGUACAUUCUUUAAAGAAUUUUUCAUCAUUCUCAACAGGAGAACGAAUGAAAACAAUCUUCUCAAUAAGAUGUUCUUUCCAUGAACAGAUAUUCUUUUCACAAAAGGAACGAAAGAAUGCAUGGAACGCAUUCCUUGGAAAGAGCACAACGGAAAUGGAGACAGAGUACACCGGCUCACCCUGGUCGAUACAUCGACUUACUCUCGAGCUUGUCACAGUUGGUGACUUUGCCCUUCCAGUCGCAGGUCUGUUUGUCCAAGUCAAAGGCCAACCCGCUGGGGCACGUGAUUUGCUUCAGGCCGGAUUUCGUGCACCUAUGCGUGUUGGACAGAAAACAAAGGGGACGCCGUUUAAUCAAAUAGAAAUCUUCGCACGUUUGCCUCUCAAUGUCGAACGCCAGACCUGUCGGACAUCGGACUGUUGCCAACCUGGUCACGCCAAUCUCGCUUGCUUUGUCGCAUCUAUUUUGGAUAGUUGGUAAUUUCUGCUCGCCAUCAUGACACAUCAUCUCAAGACACAUUCUAAUUAAAGGAGGUUGAGAAUCAUAAGUUACAUGGAAAUUAUUUUGAGAAUAAAUUAAUAUUUAAGGAAAGAAUAGAUUUCUUCAUAUAUUUUUAUAUUGUAUGAUUUCAAUAUU